AGAGAACGCUGGCGGUAGGCCUAACACAUGCAAGUCGAACGGCAGCACAGGAGAGCUUGCUCUCUGGGUGGCGAGUGGCGGACGGGUGAGGAAUACAUCGGAAUCUACUCUGUCGUGGGGGAUAACGUAGGGAAACUUACGCUAAUACCGCAUACGACCUACGGGUGAAAGCAGGGGACCUUCGGGCCUUGCGCGAUUGAAUGAGCCGGUGUCGGAUUAGCUAGUUGGCGGGGGAAAGGCCCACCAAGGCGACGAUCCGUAGCUGGUCUGAGAGGAUGAUCAGCCACACUGGAACUGAGACACGGUCCAGACUCCUACGGGAGGCAGCAGUGGGGAAUAUUGGACAAUGGGCGCAAGCCUGAUCCAGCCAUACCGCGUGGGUGAAGAAGGCCUUCGGGUUGUAAAGCCCUUUUGUUGGGAAAGAAAUCCAGCUGGCUAAUACCCGGUUGGGAUGACGGUACCCAAAGAAUAAGCACCGGCUAACUUCGUGCCAGCCGCCGCAGUAA
rnacentral:rRNA from 1 species